GCAGGGGUUUGUCCCUUCCUCGGCUUCCGUAGAGGAAGUCGCGCGGACUUGUAUUUGGGGUUUCGGUGCCCCCCCUUCCCCUUCCCCGGGGCCCGGGGGUGACAUUGCACCGCGCCCCUUACGGGGUCGCGUCGCCACCCCACGCGGACUCUCUGGCGGGCGUGCUCCUCCCAUUUGCCUCUCUUGGCCAGGCCUCCACCCCGCCCCCAGCUGACCAGCAAUGGGGGCCGCAGUGUUUUUCGGGUGCACUUUUGUCGCUUUCGGCCCGGCCUUCGCGCUCUUCUUGAUCACUGUGGCUGGGGACCCGCUUCGUGUCAUCAUCCUGGUCGCAGGGGCGUUUUUCUGGCUGGUCUCUCUGCUCCUGGCCUCUGUGGUCUGGUUCAUCUUGGUCCAUGUGACCGACCCGUCAGAUGCCCGGCUCCAGUAUGGCCUCCUGAUUUUUGGUGCUGCGGUCUCUGUCCUUCUACAGGAGAUGUUCCGCUUUGCCUACUACAAGCUGCUUAAGAAGGCAGAUGAGGGGUUAGCGUCGCUGAGUGAGGACGGAAGAUCACCCAUCUCCAUCCGCCAGAUGGCCUAUGUUUCUGGUCUUUCUUUCGGUAUCAUCAGUGGUGUCUUCUCUGUUAUCAAUAUUUUGGCCGAUGCACUGGGGCCAGGUGUGGUUGGGAUCCAUGGAGAUUCACCCUAUUACUUCUUGACAUCAGCUUUCCUGACAGCAGCCAUCAUCCUGCUUCAUACCUUCUGGGGAGUUGUGUUCUUUGAUGCCUGUGAGAGGCGACGGUACUGGACUUUGGGCCUGGUGGUUGGGAGUCACCUACUGACGUCAGGACUGACAUUCCUGAACCCCUGGUACGAGGCCAGCCUGCUGCCCAUCUAUGCAGUCACGGUUUCCAUGGGGCUCUGGGCCUUUAUUACAGCUGGAGGGUCCCUCCGAAGUAUCCAGCGCAGCUUCUCGUCCCCUAGGCUUCCUUAACCACCCUCCUCCCGCUAAGCUUGCGUAAGGACAUCAGCAGACACCGACAUUCAGAUACCUACCCCCGAAAGCAGCCAGGAUCCAAAUCACCUGUAGCAGGAACGUGAAGAACAUGAUGGUAUCCUCAGGAGGAGCACAAGAAUUUUAUACCAGAAGGAUCCUCAGGCGUCAUUCCAACUCCCUAUUUACCUUGUAAAGACUGAGCUUUGAGGGAUUUAGGGAUUUUCCUGUGGUUUGUCAUACAGUUGCUAAGCUGAACCAGAACAAGAAUAUAGGUACCACUGAACUUCCUCCUGUACCACUGCUUCUCAAACGACAGUGUGCAUCAGAAUCGUCUGGAAAGCUUAUUAAAAUACAAAUUUCUGGGCC